rnacentral:snoRNA from 1 species
UGCAAUCAGUGAUAAUUUUUUCCAUAAUUAUUGAUUGAAUAGUGAUUAAUACAAAAAUAUCACCAUCUUUCGGCUGAGAUUGCA